UUCCACAUUGAAUUAUACAUUUAGCAAUACUUCAUCAGUAUCUGUAAAAAUUGCCUGUACUUUGCUCUAAGCAAUGGCUUACACACACACACACACACUUACUUUCUAGUGUUAUUUCCUCCCCUUUAUAUCUGCCAGAUUUCUCCCUUAACUUCCAGCUGUGUAGCAGAAAUAACCUAAUCGCUUGUUUUUUACAAUAAAAUGUAUUUCUCUUAGCUGUCCAAUAGGCUUAAAAGAAUGUCACCCACGAGAAUCUUAUGUACUUUGUAGGAGGGAGCAUUCUGACAAGUCAAAAGAGAAUCAGGAUCAUGAACGCACUGAAAUCUCAGCUGCUGCUAUUCGCCUCAUACAGAUCAAUGGAACAACUGACCAAAUUACCCAGGCAGGAUGCCUCAUUUGCUUUUUAUCUUAACUGGACAGGGUCAAUAAUUUUUCAGAGAAGAUCAGAUUAAUGCAGGCUGUGAACGUAGAAUCACAGUUUCCCCGUAUCUGGGCAGAUUAUAUUUAUUAUAUUAACGGAAAAUGGAAUCCCAGAACACAUCAUUGCUCUCAUGAGAAACCUAUACACAGGCCAGGAAGCCAGAGUCCAGACGGAAUACAGUAAAACAGACUGGUUCCAGAUCAGCAAGGAGUAAGACAAAGCUGUAUACUUUCUGCUUAUUUAUUCAACUUAUAUGCUUAACAUACACUGAGAGAAGCUGGAUUGGAAGAAGAUGAGUGUGGUUUUAAAGUUGGAGGAAGAAACAUCAAUAACCUGCGCUAUACUGAUGACACCACUCUGAUAGCUGAGAAUGCAGAUGAUCUGCAAGCUCUAGUAAUGAAAGUCAAGGAGCACAGUGAAAAAAUGGGACUAUGAUUAAAUGUAAAGAAGACUAAACUAAUGACAACGGGUACAGCAACCAGCCUCAGAAGUGAUAGUGCAGACAGUAGUAGUAGUAGUAUGUAGUAGUAAUAAUGCAGACAUUGAAGUAGUAGAUAGCUUCUGCCUUUUAGGAUUGACCAUCAACAGUAAAGGAUCCAGCAGUCAAGAAACAUGCCACAGACUAGCACUUGGUUGGAUAGCAAUGAAGGCCUUGGAAAGGAUAUUUAGAUGCAGUGACGUGUCUAUACCUACAACGAUUAGAAUCGUUCGGACAAUGGUUCUCUCUGUGACAUUCUAUGGAUGCGAAAGUUAGACUUGGAAGAAGCAAGAUAGAAAAAGCAUUGACGCUUUUGAACUUUGGUGUUGGAGAAGAUUUUUGAGGAUACCAUGGACAGCCAGGAAAACAAACAUAGAACAAAUCAAUCCAGAAUUUUCACUUGCGGCACAAAUGACCAGGCUCAAACUAUCAUACUUCAGACACAUUAUGCGAAAACCCAGCUCCCUUGAGAAGUCCAUAAUCCUGGGAAAAUUUGAAGGAAAGAGAAGAAGAGGCCGACCAGCAGCAAGGUGGCUGGACUCGAUUACGACAGCAAUGAAUGCACCACUGAGAGACCUUAAAGGCCAAGUUGAAGACAAAUCAUCCUGGAGAUAAUCUAUCUAUGUGGUGACUAAGAGUCAACACCGAUGUGACAGCAUUUAAUCAAUCAAUCAAUCAAAUGAUGCAUUUUAAUUGUUCUACCUGUUCUAUGAUGCUUAUGUAGUGUACCUGGAGUGUGCACGAAUGGUUCAUUGCCAAACCGGUUUGCCUUGAACCAGGCCAAUUUGGAGGUCAAUCACAGACCAAACUGGGGGCAGUUCGGUCCAUGAUUGAACUGAACAGGCCCAGUUCGGGAAAGCUAGUUUGGCAACAAAUGGGCAGUUGGGCAGGGACGGUGAAAGAGGUAGUUAGAUCCUUACUCCUGCUAACUGAUCAAAGAGGCAUCCUUUUAAAGUGGUGAGUCUCUUUAUUUAGCAGGGGGAGAGUGGUGAUUCUCUUUAUUUAGCUGGACCUAUCCAUCCCCAGCACAGCAUCAUUCCAAUGGCUGUUGCUGGUGUCUAUAUGUUUGUUUGUUUGUUUCUCUUUCUUUCUUUCUUUCUUUCUUUCUUUCUUUCUUUCUUUCUUUCUUUCUUUUCCAGAUUGUGAGCCCUUUGGGGACAAGGAGCCGUGUGUGUGUGUGUGUGUGUGUGUGUGUGUGUGUGUGUGUGUAAACUACUUUGGAAACUUUAGUUGAAAAGUAGUAUAUAAAUAUUUGUUGCGUUGCAUUGCAUUGCAUUGUAUUACCCAGCCAACGUAGCUGCUGGUGCUGCUGGUGCUGUCGCUCACCCUCCCUGGCGCAACCCAAGCACAUGCUCUGCCUUGUUUAGGAAACCACCUGCACAGCAGCAGAACAGUUCUAGCAUCCACACGUGUGGACACCAUCUGCGUGGCAUGCGUGCAUGUGGACACCAUGCAAAUGGCAUGCACACAUUGGUGGAGACUGGAACCACUCCGCCAUCAUGCAGGCAGUUUCCUAAACAAGGCAGAGCAUUCACUUGGGGUCACAUGAAAUGUUCAUAAACAUUUGAACUGUUCAGGGAAUGCCGGUCCCUGCUGCUGCACCAGCACGAUGAGGCGGGCUACAGGGUUGUCCCCUCAUCACAUGAUGAUGGGCACAGCAUUGCCAUCUUGCCUCCCCCUACACGUGACCAGGACUGGCCAAUCAUGUAGGGAGGAGGGCCAUUUGUAGCACCGGCCGCCUCCAUUCUGAGCAGUCACUCCCUAGCUUGGAACCCACCCACCCUACACUCUGUGAAGGAUAGCCGGUCGUCUGCAGGAGCCAAGUCGGAAUUUUGGGGUCCGUGCCUGAUUGGCACUAGGUGUGGCCUUUUUUUGCCUAGUUCUCACUGAGGUUUAGGUCUUAGGUAUGCACUGAAGGUAAUUGGUCACUUGGCAGGAGAGUGCAGGUUUGGGGUAGGUAGAUUGAUUGUAGGUAUUUGGCUGGAGGGCCAUCUGGGGUGGGGGGCAGAGGAACAACCCUUAAGGGUUUUUGAACCCCGGGGGGUUGGGAAUGGCCCUGCUCGGGGGGUGGCCCGACUCACCAACUCAGAUUCGGUGGCUUGAGUUGGGGUGGGUUGGUUGCCCCCCUCUCAGCGGGGUUAAGCCUCACAGUGAAAGGAGAUCAGUACCUGGCUCCUGACUGAAUCAGUACUUAGCCCUUCUCCCUGGUGUGGGACGGCCCUCCUUAGGAGGUGGUCCCACAUGGGAGGAGUACCCACAUUCUGGUUAGUUAGGUACCUUGUUGCAAGUCUUAUUCCAUGUACAUUAAUAAAGUGGCCCUAUUUUAAACCGCCAGGAUUGUUUUAAUGAAAGGCGGUAUAUAAAUGUAACAAUAAAUAAAUAAAUCCGCCUUGGGAUUGGUAUAUAAAUGUAACAAUAAAAAUAUAAAUUUUACUCCAA